GAGACCUCAGGUCAGGCGGGGCUACCCGCUGAGUUUAAGCAUAUCAAUAA
rnacentral:rRNA from 19 species